rnacentral:rRNA from 1 species
UACGUAGGGUCAAAGCGUUAAUCGGAAUUACUGGGCGUAAAGCGUGCGCAGGCGGUUGUGCAAGACCGAUGUGAAAUCCCCGGGCUUAACCUGGGAAUUGCAUUGGUGACUGCACGGCUAGAGUGUGUCAGAGGGGGGUAGAAUUCCACGUGUAGCAGUGAAAUGCGUAGAGAUGUGGAGGAAUACCGAUGGCGAAGGCAGCCCCCUGGGAUAACACUGACGCUCAUGCACGAAAGCGUGGGGAGCAAACAGGAUUAGA